rnacentral:rRNA from 1 species
UACAGGGGGUGCAAACGUUGCUCGGAAUCAUUGGGCGUAAAGCGCACGUAGGCGGUUCGUUAAGUCUGGUGUAAAAGACUGGGGCUCAACCCUGGGAUCGCACUGGAUACUGGCGGACUGGAGUGUAGUAGAGGCAAGCGGAAUUCCCAGUGUAGCGGUGAAAUGCGUAGAUAUUGGGAAGAACACCGGUGGCGCAAGCGGCUGCUGGGCUAUAACUGACGCUGAGGAACGAAAGCUAGGGGAGCAAAUGGG